rnacentral:rRNA from 1 species
GAAACCUACGGGGGGCAGCAGUGGGGAAUAUUGCACAAUGGGGGAAACCCUGAUGCAGCGACGCCGCGUGAGUGAGGAAGUAUUUCGGUAUGUAAAGCUCUAUCAGCAGGGAAGAAAAUGACGGUACCUGACUAAGAAGCCCCGGCUAACUACGUGCCAGCAGCCGCGGUAAUACGUAGGGGGCAAGCGUUAUCCGGAUUUAGUGGGUGUAAAGGGAGCGUAGACGGCUAAUCAAGUCAGGAGUGAAAACCCAG